rnacentral:rRNA from 1 species
UACGAAGGGGGCUAGCGUUGCUCGGAAUCACUGGGCGUAAAGGGUGCGUAGGCGGGCCUUUAAGUCAGGGGUGAAAUCCUGGAGCUCAACUCCAGAACUGCCUUUGAUACUGAAGAUCUUGAGUUCGGGAGAGGUGAGUGGAACUGCGAGUGUAGAGGUGAAAUUCGUAGAUAUUCGCAAGAACACCAGUGGCGAAGGUGGCUCACUGGCCCGAUACUGACGCUGAGGCACGAAAGCGUGGGGAGCAAACAGG